UGGGGAAUAUUGCACAAUGGGCGCAAGCCUGAUGCAGCCAUGCCGCGUGUGUGAAGAAGGCCUUCGGGUUGUAAAGCACUUUCAGCGAGGAGGAAGGUGGUGAGCUUAAUACGCUCAUCAAUUGACGUUACUCGCAGAAGAAGCACCGGCUAACUCCGUGCCAGCAGCCGCGGUAAUACGGAGGGUGCAAGCGUUAAUCGGAAUUACUGGGCGUAAAGCGCACGCAGGCGGUUUGUUAAGUCAGAUGUGAAAUCCCCGGGCUCAACCUGGGAACUGCAUUUGAAACUGGCAAGCUAGAGUCUCGUAGAGGGGGGUAGAAUUCCAGGUGUAGCGGUGAAAUGCGUAGAGAUCUGGAGGAAUACCGGUGGCGAAGGCGGCCCCCCUGGACGAAGACUGACGCUCAGGUGCGAAAGCGUGGGGCAGCAAACAGGAUUAGAUACCCUGGUAGUCCAGCGCUGUAAAACGAUGUCGAUUUGGAGGUUGUGCCCUUGAGGCGUGGCUUCCGGAGCUAACGCGUUAAAUCGACCGCCUGGGGGAGUACGGCCGCAAGGUUAAAAACUCAAAGGAAUUG
rnacentral:rRNA from 1 species